UAAUACGAAGGGGGCUAGCGUUGUUCGGAAUUACUGGGCGUAAAGCGCACGUAGGCGGGUUGUUAAGUCAGGGGUGAAAUCCCGGAGCUCAACUCCGGAACUGCCUUUGAUACUGGCAAUCUAGAGACUGGAAGAGGUUAGUGGAAUUCCCAGUGUAGAGGUGAAAUUCGUAGAUAUUGGGAAGAACACCAGUGGCGAAGGCGGCUAACUGGUCCAGUACUGACGCUGAGGUGCGAAAGCGUGGGGAGCAAACAGG
rnacentral:rRNA from 1 species